GCCGGGGACCUCGUGGAAUGGGGCAGUCCGAACCAGGUCAGAACCGGAAGGUAGCAGCCUUAAGGACUACGCACUAUGCCAUAAGAUCAUCUCCGGCUUU
rnacentral:SRP_RNA from 1 species